AUGCCGUGCGAGGACCCUCUGGACCUCUUCCUCGCCCGCGUGGCCGACACGCCGCAUGCUCCAUUGCUCCCUACCCCGGUGACCCGCAAGGGCAGGGGCGGCAUGUCGGUCGCCGCCACUUGGCGUAGUGCGCGGCUGGACAAAAAGAAGGCCAAGGCCCCGCCCGGUUCCGGCUCGGAGGUGGUCCAGGAGCUCAUCGCAAGGGUCUACGGCGUUCUGGACCCGUCCGUUUCCUACGAUGACAAGGCCAAGCAAGCCUACCUCGACCUGUUCUCUACUCCACUUGCAGCCCUGGUGGUCCGGGCGAUCGCUAGGAUGGUGGCGCACGCCAAGAGCAUCUCGCAGAAGAAGGGAAAGAAGAGCAAGAAGGCCACCCUGGAGCUUGCAAACGUGGUUGCCCAAGCCUAUGUUGAGUAA
rnacentral:rRNA from 1 species